UCCAAGGCUUCUCCUCUAGACAUGGUGGAGUGGACUGGUUUUCGGUGAAAUUCCGCUCGGUCUCACAUUCAGCCUGUCUAGGCCCCGCCUCUAUAACGGCCUGGCAUAGGUCGCGCCCGCCGUGGCUCGGCGACGCACAUGGAGACUCCAGGACUGCAGUCGGCGUAGGUGACCUGCGUGUGUGCCUCGGGCCAGACGGGGCCUUUUAUCCUCGGCAAACCGAGUGUCAUUUUUCAGUGCUGGUUGGAGCACUGGAGAAAAUAUAUUCUUACCCAAUCAUUUCAUAAGUAUGGACAAAAGACCUAACGGAGGAGUUAGCAGCUGCAGCGCUAUCAUUGUUGCGUGUUACUACUGCCAGGCUCUUUGAUAAUCGCUUGGUACUAAUUCUCACACUAAUUUUGUAAGGGACUUCGCUGGCAGUCCAAUGGUUAAGACUCUGCGCUUCCACUGCAGGGGGCAUGGGUUUGAUCCCUGGUCGGGGAACUAGGAUGCUGCAUGCUGCUCGGCGUGGCCAAAAGAAAAGUGAAGAAAUCAAGAUUUGGCAAGAUCACAUAACUAGGUGGUGGGGAGUUGGAACCCACUAUGACUGAACUCCAAAUUAAUACAGUGUUUGUAGCCAGUUAUAUAAUAAUGGUAAAGGCAUUACUUUUUUGCUCUGUUGUAUGGAUAAACACACUGAGGCUGAGGGAAUAAGGCAGCACACUCUUAAAGGAUACACACUUGGUUGAAAGGAUCAGAAAAGGAAACAGAAACACAGAGAAGCAGAAAAAGUAAAAUCUCCCAAAAUAAACUUGAAAGGAAUUAAAAAUAAAAGCAGAAGUUAAUGAAAUAGAAAAUAAAAUUGAUCAUAAUAGUAGCUGGUGUUCAAAAAGAACAAUAAAUAGACAGCAAAUCUGAGGAAGAAGAGGAGAGAAAACAAUAUCAGAAGCAAAGGGAACACAUUACAGAUAUGAGGGACUUUGAAAACAAGUGAAUUAUGUAGUGAAUCCUGAAAUAACCCCCUUUUUAUUUAUGUUUGUGUUUAUUAUAGAGGUGGCAUUUCAAAUAGAGAAAUGAGGGCUCUUCAGAAUUUCCAUAUACAAAAAUUUCAGAAGAAUUAAAGAUAUUAAAGUGUUAGAAGGAAAUACAGAAAAUUUCUUUUAUAAAUCUUAGGAAGGCCUUCUUAAGCAAAACAAGCCCCACAGAAAAAAAGUUUACUAUAUAAACUUAAAUGUUUAUGCCACAAGAUACAUUACCAUAAAGUUGAGACCAGAGAUAGGCUUAAUGUUUAUUAUCUUCUAACAAUUUAACUCAGUGAUAAAGAGUAAGUCGAUAGGGGCUUCCCUGGUGGCACAGUGGUUAAGAUUCCACCUGCCAAUGCAGGGGACAUGGGUUCGAGCCCUGGUCCGGGGAGAUCCCACAUGCCAUGGAGCAACUAGGCCCGUGUGCCACAACUACUGAGCCUGCGCUCUAGAGCCUGCGAACCACAACUACUGAGCCUGCGAGCCACAACUACUGAGCCUGCGUGCCACAACUACUGAAGCCCGUGCACCUAGAGCCCAUGCUCCACAACAAGAGAAGCCACCGCAAUGACAAGCCUGCACGCCUCAACGAAGAGUAGCCCCCACUCACCGCAACUAGAGAAAGCCCAUGCACAACAACGAAGACCCAAU